AUGCUCCUAGGGGGUAGAUUGGUAGGAAAAGACCAUCGCUCGUCCCCGACCGCCACUCAUAAGGAAGACAAUCAAAAAAUAAAUCAUGCUCCGACUUCAUCACAUAACGGUUCACCAUACGUGCAUGCUACGGGAAUCACAAACUUUAACACAAGUAUCUCUCAAAUUCACAACUACUCCACUAGAAUGACUCUAAUAUCACCAUCUUCAUAUCUCAAAACAAUCAUAAAGAAUCAAACUUCUCAUAGUAUUCAAUGCACUUUAUAUGAUAGUUUUUAUUAUACCCAUCUUGGAUGCUCAUCAUAUUAG
rnacentral:rRNA from 1 species